rnacentral:lncRNA from 1 species
CGAGCCCCUCCUUCUCCGACUUUAAGUGUGGAGGCGAAACCACCCUUUGCGGGCCGACCCGGGAACCCGGGACAGAAUCGACCUUCCUUACAGUGUUACCACCUACUAUCGGUGGUGCUACUAGGAGGGCAGUUUAAAAGGGGAAAUGUGUUGCGCUUAAUAACCUUGAAUCGAGGAACAGACCUUGAACAUAAUUACAAAGAGUUCAAGUAACUCGUCCAGUUAAUUCGAUGUAGAAUAUUUGGCUCCAGAGCCUGCUACUGUAGGUGCAUAUCUUUGUUUUCAAACAAUUUAAAUUUUAAUAAAAACUGUCCAAGGGGAUUUCUACAGAUAUGGAGCACAAACAUGAAUGGUAACCUAAAAAUGAUACGUGCUUAAUAAUUGUAUAUGGAACCUUUCUAGUUUUUCAGAUAACACCAAAGUUUGUAAAGCUUG